rnacentral:rRNA from 1 species
ACGCUCGACACCUACGGAGGCAGCAGUAGGGAAUCUUCCACAAUGGACGCAAGUCUGAUGGAGCAACGCCGCGUGAGUGAAGAAGGUCUUCGGAUCGUAAAACUCUGUUGUUAGAGAAGAACACGAGUGAGAGUAACUGUUCAUUCGAUGACGGUAUCUAACCAGCAAGUCACGGCUAACUACGUGCAAGCAGCCGCGGUAAUCUGAGCGGGCUGGCAAGGC